CGGGUGCUUUGUUUUGGUUUUUACCUUGCAUUUAAAGGAGAUGUGAGGAUGGGUAAAGUGGCACGGACUGAAUAAAAACCAUAAGUAAAAAGUGGAGUAAAGAGAGGGAGAAAUAAAUAAAUAAUCCUGUUUAUUAAAUGAAACAGCUGGGUAGGAAAAAAAAUGAUCUCCGGGAAGAAAGCAGCUCCCUGGGCUAUUUUUAGCUCUUUUGUUUCUCCCCCCCUUUCCACCCCCACCCUCCUUGCACAGUCUGAGGGUUUGGUGCGUGUCAAUCCUGCUGUUCUCCCUCACCUCCUGAGUGCCAGGGUGAAUGGGGAGCGCCAGGCUGACCUGUCCACUGCUGUUUGCUGCCCUGUCGCUCAGAUUUCGGCUGUGUGGAGGUGAUGGCUGUGGGUGGGAUGUGAGCAGAGAAGGAAAAGGAAGGAGCAAUGAUUAAUAAAACCUGACUCGGCUGGAAGGGCAAGGAAAAAACAACAAUACAGGACAUUUCUGGAGAUCGUCCUAAUCCAGCACCUUGGAGCCAAAUGAAUCAGCAGCUUCUUAUUCUGCCAGCAGGAUUAGUCAAUGUUCAUCCAGGCUCCUGGGAAGUGAGGUGAGGCUCUGCAUAGCAAGGAGCAAGGUGGCCACAGGGUGUUGGUUGGUUCAUGGAGCCAAACAAAUCCCUCCUUGUAAUCCUGCAAACACUGCUGGG
rnacentral:lncRNA from 1 species